GAUCGUCACUCGGUGUUCUCACCGAAAGCACGUAAUCGCCGGUGUAACUCAUGUUGGCUGGGGGGGCCUCCCUGCACGCGGUGAGGCUGGGUUGAGGCUGGGGUGCGCCCCCAUGCAGCUCGCCCUGCUCAGCUACAUGGUCCUGGCUCUCAAGUGUGCCCAGUCCACGUCCCACAGGCUUGCUCUGGAAAGCACUUCUGUCUCCAACCUCGACCGGACCCCCUUCGGGGCCAGGGUUUGCAGCCGUGGAUGUGCCGGCCCCGUGGCUUGUCCGAUUUGCACGGUGACUUGAUUACACGCUCGCAUUCAUGGUCACUUCCGAAGCGCUUUAGUGCCUUCCGUCCCUAAACCGCCAACAGCCAGAGCGGCUUCCCCCGCGGUUUGUCAAUGAUCCGCGAGGCCAAGAAGGGCCUUCGUCUUACCCGGGAUCUCUCUCUCCCCUCAGUUUCCCUGCCUGCUUCCCCAUUCCACUCCUUGCCUUGGAGAAAAGCCUCCCUUUUCUCUGCCUUGCCGGGGUUUGAAGUGACUGGCUGAGCCCGAGGCUCCGGGGCUGCGCCGCUGCUCACCGGUCUGCGCGCCUGCCUGGUGUUCUGGAGCUGACUCGGGAAACCGUGCAGUUGAGGCGAGCCUUGGGCUGCUUUAGAGGCGCUGACAGCCGAGGAGACUUCUCCUGGCGUGAGAGUGAAAGCAGGGAUGUGCAGAAACUCAGACGGCUCCUCGCCUUUCUGCUACUCAUUCCACGGAAGAAACACAACGCCAAAGAAAGGAGAGGUGCUUCCCAAACUCCCCACAUCUUGAGCAAAGAAGAUGCUUUGAAAAGGAUAGUUUGUGCUAAAGCUAGAGAUGGAAGGCAUGGCGGCUAGUAUGAGUCUAGCUUUCUUGAGAAGAUGAAAGAAAAGAAUUAAGGAAGCAAAUUAUGUGUAUUAUCCUGCAGGAUUGAAGGAGUAAUGCUCCCGGGGAAGUGAAGAAGGGAGAAGGCACAGAGCAGCCAGGCAGGGCCAGGAGGUGGGAGGGGACACAUCAUUCUCUUCUUGGAAGUAGCUGGGGUGUCGCUGAAGGAAGGUCAAAAAAUAAAAAAAGGAUAACCUUUUCCAUUUCCCUGUCCAGGAAACCGCUAAAGGUAUUUACAUAUC